AGAUCCUGAAACCAGUCUACUUUCAGCGAACAGCCACUCCGAAGCCCAAAGCAAACAGCAAACAGAGGAAGUCCUCGGAGCCUGAAGCCUUACCCCUAUGACGUUAAUCGUCUGGAUGGAAACGUCUCCUGCGAUGUGCAUCCCACAGACUCUCUCCACGGGGAGGCGGUGUUUGAAGGUGUGGAAGUCUUUCCCGUUGACUUUAAUCUGCAACAGAAAAACAUGACAACAAAAAUGAAGAUCCAUUCUGCUUAGAGUUGAAGACCACCUUGUCCCAGCCGUCGAAGCGAGGGUUAAAGUGGAGCGCCACGUCGCUGGACUCAGACGGCCCGCAGAGCAGGUUAAGAAAAAACCUGAAACAUCAGAUGAACCGAACACAUCAGGGUCACUGAGUCCUGCAGAGAGCAAGGUGUGGCCAGCUGUGAAGAAACUCUCCCCUCAUCUCAUACAGAGCCGUGUUUACCUGUGCAAAGAAGGCUGCUGCACCCAGAGACAGAGAGAGGAGAGAUUACUCAAGGUAUGGACCCCUGGAUGUAGAUGGAUGAUCCGUCCCUCAGGCCUCCAUGAACCGGACCCAGAUAAGGAAUACUCUGCACCGUGCACAAAACAAACUCAAGUAUACAGUUUCACACAAAAACACAUGUCUGCAUGUGAGCGUUCAGAAACAUCUUCCAAAGUUCUGAAGCUUCAAAUGUAUAUGUAUAUCAUAUCUUUGAGAAAUUGUACAUCACUAAUGUGUAAGGAAAUAUAAUCCACUGAUGUUUAGACAACAUGCACAUUAAAAUAUUCCCUGUGAUGCAGAUUUAAAGUCUUAUCUGAGCCAUGAGUCUGAGGAGCCACACAGGCGUCUUUGAGCAUCCUGCAGGGUUGUAGACCGGCUGGUAUCCAGGAGGAGCGACGAACAUGGCAGCGGUGUAGUCGGAGAGAUGGAGAGGCAGAGAGUCAGGAGGGUUCAGUCGGGAGCUGGUCUAUGCUGGAGGACUCGUUUUAUACAGCGAUGAGGGGAGGGACCGAGCCGGGUACCAAACCCAGGUCUGCAUCACUUUAUUUACUUUGGAGACGCACGUAAACGGUGCAGGACUUUAUUGAAGCUGAUCCUCAUACUGCUUCCUGAAGCAGUCUCCAGCCGGGUAGAAGUCCCAACAUCGCUCCUGGUACAUCUUCCAGACAUAUGACUCCUGAAAGACAGAGCGAGCGACGGGCGUUUACAAAGUCAGUAAAUGUAGGAUUUUUUUCAACAUCAGACAAAAACACGCAGGCCCCAAUCUCAAUGUCCUGAGCCCUGAGCCCAGA